GAAGCAACGCGCAGAACCUUACCAGCCCUUGACAUGCCCGGCUCGCCACAGAGAUGUGGUUUUCCCUUCGGGGACCGGGACACAGGUGCUGCAUGGCUGUCGUCAGCUCGUGUCGUGAGAUGUUGGGUUAAGUCCCGCAACGAGCACAACCCUCGCCCUUAGUUGCCAGCAUUUGGUUGGGCACUCUAAGGGGACUGCCGGUGAUAAGCCGAGAGGAAGGUGGGGAUGACGUCAAGUCCUCAUGGCCCUUACGGGCUGGGCUACACACGUGCUACAAUGGUGGUGACAGUGGGCAGCGAGCACGCGAGUGUGAGCUAAUCUCCAAAAGCCAUCUCAGUUCGGAUUGCACUCUGCAACUCGAGUGCAUGAAGUUGGAAUCGCUAGUAAUCGCGGAUCAGCACGCCGCGGUGAAUACGUUCCCGGGCCUUGUACACACCGCCCGUCACACCAUGGGAGUUGGUUUUACCCGAAGGCGCUGCGCUAACCGCAAGGAGGCAGGCGACCACGGUAGGGUCAGCGACUGGGGUGAAGUCGUAACAAGGUAACCGU
rnacentral:rRNA from 1 species